rnacentral:rRNA from 1 species
CUGCUGCCUCCCGUAGGAGUCUGGGCCGUGUCUCAGUCCCAAUGUGGCCGUUCAACCUCUCAGUCCGGCUAUGGAUCGUCGACUUGGUAGGCCGUUACCCCACCAACUAUCUAAUCCAACGCGAGCCCAUCCUUCGGCACCUCAGUUUUGGUAUUUCUAUCAUGCGGUAAAAAUACGUUAUGCGGCAUUACUGUCCGUUUCCAGACACUAUCCCCCUCCGAAGGGCAGGUUGCUCACGCGUUACUCACCCGUCCGCCACU